rnacentral:rRNA from 1 species
AAUUUUUAAUCAUUUUAUUAAAAUUAAUAAAAUUACAUUUAAAUCCUUUUUCAAUUAAAUAAUUUCAAUUUAAUAUUCAUUUAAAUAAAUUUAUUGUAAUUCAUUUAUUCUAAAUUAUUAGUUACAUCUUGAUUUGAUUUAAUUUUUUAUUUUAAAUUUUUAAAUAUUAUAAAUUUAUAAAAAAUAUUUUUUUAACAAUGAUAUAUAAAUUUAUAAAUUAAGUAAAUUAAUUCGUGGAUUAUCAAUUAUUAAACAAAUUCCUCUAAAUAAAAUAAAAUACUGCCAAAUUAUUUAAGUUUCAUAUAAUAAUAUUAAUUACUAUUUUAAUAUUAAACUAUUUAAUUUAUAUAAUAGGG